GAUGAACGCUAGCGGCAGGCUUAAUACAUGCAAGUCGAGGGGCAGCAGGGUGUAGCAAUACAUCGCUGGCGACCGGCAAACGGGUGCGGAACACGUACGCAACCUUCCUUCAAGUGAGGAAUAGCCCAGGGAAACUUGGAUUAAUACCUCGUAACAUUGUGAAGUGGCAUCACUUUACAAUUAUAGCUCAGGCGCUUGGAGAUGGGCGUGCGACUGAUUAGGUAGUUGGCGGAGUAACAGCCCACCAAGCCUGCGAUCAGUAACUGGUGUGAGAGCACGACCAGUCACACGGGC
rnacentral:rRNA from 1 species